rnacentral:rRNA from 1 species
CAGCAGCCGCGGUAAUACGAAGGUGGCAAGCGUUAUUCGGAUUUACUGGGCGUACAGGGAGCGUAGGCGGUUUGGUAAGCCCUCUGUGAAAUCUCCAGGCUUAACCUGGAAAAGUCGGAGGGGACUGCUGGGCUAGAGGACGGGAGAGGAGCGCGGAAUUCCCGGUGUAGCGGUGAAAUGCGUAGAGAUCGGGAGGAAGGCCGGUGGCGAAGGCGGCGCUCUGGAACGUUUCUGACGCUGAGGCUCGAAAGCGUGGGGAGCAAACAGGAUUAGAUACCCUGGUAGUCCACGCCUUAAACUAUGAAUACUAAGUGUCGGCAGUUUACUGCCGGUGCCGCAGCUAACGCAUUAAGUAUUCCGCCUGGGAAGUACGGCCGCAAGGUUGAAACUCAAAGGA